CGAUUGACUCAGUCCGAGUCAUAUAUUUGUAGCCGAACAACUCGGCCGAACCUUCCCCUCUUCCUUUCCCUCUCCUCUUUCCCUCGUCGAAACGCUUCGAUGCCAUUUCAUUUCAACAUCCAAACGAAGAAAGAGGGCGGUUUUGAUGGGCAAUUCUUGUCGAGAUUCUUGGCAAGCAAGAUCGACCCCCCACACCGCCGCCAAUCCAUCGGCAUUCCCGACGACUCCUCCAAGAAGCCGCCGCCUUCACGAGGCGACUCCAACUACGUGUUCUACCAUGAGACGCCCAAUCUCCAGGACUCGUGGGGAGGAAAUGGGGGCAGAUUCAUGACGAGUACACAUAUAUGCGAGAAAUAUGUAUUGAGUUCAAGAUCUGGAUCGGGUGUAACCAGCAGGGAUUAUUGGUUCAAACCCUACUAGCUUUUCUACUUCCCCACAACCUUCGUUCCAUCUCUUGCGCAGAGCGUGAUCUUCAGUCCGUACUUCAUGUACAUGGUGAGCGCCAUCUUCGGCACCACCGG